rnacentral:rRNA from 1 species
UUACACUGAUAAUACAAUAAAAAAGGUUUGGUUUUAAUUAAUAAGAUAUUUGAAUUAAUUUUUAGUUUUAUUAAGUGAAAUUUUUAAAAUUAGAGUAAGUUUGUUUUUAUUUUAUGAGGUUAGUAAAUUUAGAUUAAAAACUAGGAUUAGAUACCCUAUUAUUCUAAACGGAACUUAUUUUACCAGAUUAGUAGUAGUUAUGGUCUUGAAAAUUAAAGAAGUUGGCGGUAUUAUAGUCUAUUCAGAGGAACCUGCCCUAUAAUCGAUGGUCCACGAUUUUUAUUACUUAUUUUAUUAGUUUAUAUAUCGCCGUAGAUUGAAUAUUUUUGAAAAAUAGUAAUAUUCAAGAUUUUUAAUUAAAAAGGAAUUCAGGUCAAGGUGUAGCUUAUAAAUAAGAAGAGGUGGGUUACAAUAAAUUUAUUUAUAUGGAUAAAUAGAUUAAAUUUUAUUUUGAAAGUGGAUUUGAUAGUAAUUUUAUUAAAAUUAAUAAGAUGAUUUUAGCUCUAAAAUAUGUACAUA